rnacentral:rRNA from 1 species
AGCGAACGUUAGCGGCGCGCCUAACACAUGCAAGUCGCACGAGAAAGGGCUUCGGCCCCGGUAAAGUGGCGCACGGGUGAGUAACACGUGGGCAACCUGCCCAACCCUGGGGGAUAACCUGCCGAAAGGCGGGCUAAUACCGCGUACGAGGGCUCGACUUCGGUCGGGUUCUGAAAGCAGGCCUCUGUACACAUGCUUGCGGGGUUGGAUGGGCCCGCGGUCCAUCAGCUAGGUGGUGAGGUAAUGGCUCACCAAGGCUACGACGGAUAGCUGGUCUGAGAGGAUGAUCAGCCACACUGGAACUGAGACACGGUCCAGACUCCUACGGGAGGCAGCAGUGGGGAAUCUUGCGCAAUGGACGAAAGUCUGACGCAGCGACGCCGCGUGGGUGACGAAGGCCUUCGGGUUGUAAAGCCCUGUGGGGCGAGACGAACAGCUUCUGGUCGAACAGGCCAGGGGUCUGACGGUAUCGCCUUAGCAAGCACCGGCUAACUCUGUGCCAGCAGCCGCGGUAACAC